rnacentral:tRNA from 1 species
GGCGCAGUGGCAGAGUGGUCUAAUGCGUGUGACUAGAAUAUCUAGAAAACUUCCUCAAAAAAGUCAUCACAUCCCUUCGGGGGCGUCUGUUCGAAUCAGGCCUGCGUCG